rnacentral:sRNA from 1 species
GGGCAGAGCAACAUUGUUUUGACAGUGAAAUUUACCAAUUUAUAAUUUUUUAAGAAAAGCAUGCCUAGCACAGACCACCUGAUUACCAAGAGGAAGCUGAAGAGGAGAUUCUACUAGAGAGAUGCAAAUGAAUAAUUCUGGUGUUACUGUGGGGAAGAAAAGAAGAACCUGUGUGUGACUCAUACAAGAAAAUCUGUUAUUCAAGAAUAAAUAUCGCAGCAGUAAUAAUAAAGGUUUCUUGAGUACAGGCGAUCAGGCUGCAAAGGGGAACUAUGGACUCCUUGAUCUCAUACAAGCUUUAAGAUGGACUAGUGAAAACAUUGGAUUCUUUGGUGGUGACCCCUUAAGAAUCACUGUUUUUGGAUCUGGUGCUGGGGGUUCAUGUGUCAACCUGCUGACUUUAUCCCAUUAUUCUGAAGGUAACCGUUGGAG